rnacentral:rRNA from 1 species
GAAGCCGGAAUUGCUAGUAAUGGCAGGUCAGCAUACUGCCGUGAAUACGUUCCCGGGCCUUGUACACACCGCCCGUCACACCAUGAGAGUUGGGAAUACCCGAAGCCUGUGAGCUAACUUUUAGAGGCAGCAGUCGAAGGUAGAAUCAAUGAUUGGGGUGAAGUCGUAACAAGGUAUC